GUCUAUAGCUAUACUACCAUGAAUGGGCCCAAUCUUGUCUGAUCUUGGAAGCUAAGCAGCGUUGGGCCUGGUCAGUAGUUGGGUGGGAGACCACUUGGCAAUACUGGGUACUCUAGGCU
rnacentral:rRNA from 1 species